UACGUAGGGGGCAAGCGUUGUCCGGAAUCAUUGGGCGUAAAGCGCGUGUAGGCGGCUAGGUAAGUCUGCUCUGAAAGCCCGGGGCUCAACCCCGGGAGGCGGGUGGAUACUGUCUAGCUCGAGUCCGGAAGAGGAGUGUGGAAUUCCUGGUGUAGCGGUGAAAUGCGCAGAUAUCAGGAAGAACACCCGUGGCGAAGGCGGCUCUCUGGAACGCAACUGACGCUGAGACGCGAAAGCGUGGGGAGCAAACAGG
rnacentral:rRNA from 1 species